rnacentral:lncRNA from 8 species
AUGUGGUGUUUGACAGUCAUCAGAGGAUUCCAAGUUUUGCCUACCUUUUUCUCAGAUAUGUAUUCAGAGCUCUUGUCAAAAGACAGGGGCAUUUGUACUUUUGCGAUAGCGAUGUCAAAGGUGAAGUUGCCUUCACCAUCUUUAACUGCAGGUAAACUGAUUGCGCUUGACAAUGUAGCAGUCCGAUUUCUUUUAGGGCUAUGGUUUCAUUUCAAACAACACACUGCCUUACAAAGAUGGUUGUUUAUUUGUUCACGUUUGGACCAAUUAUCUCCUAUGUGCUGUACUUUUUUCUCUCUAAGGUUCAACAAGGAUCUACUGAGGAGGUUCUGUAGUGCAACUGGAUAUGGCUGGGACUACCCAGACAUUGAGUUCAGGGAUAUCCCUCUGUGUUACCCAGAGACCCUCUGUCUGCGAAUCUUUGACAUAUUAAUAUCUGCUGAGAAGUUCAGAUUGAGCCCUCUGGGUCUAGUCCGGGUACGUCAGAGUUUGAGAACAUGGCAGCCAAUAGAUGAGCUGAAGAAGGGACCCUUCAAGUUGCAGGCUCGUGUGUUAGAGUACAGGGUCGUUGAAGAUGGGGUGGAGGUUGACAUUUCUCUAACUGCCAUUUCACGCACUGACCAGCCAGUAUGGGAGAGUGUUUUGACAAUGCUCUCCCAGGACAGAGGCCGAACACCAAACACACAACCUAAACCUGAGUGGUAUGAUGGUCACAUGGACACAUCAGAGACAGAUGACGUGAAGGCGGUGGACAUCAAUGUUCCCUGGACUACAGGACUGAAGUUUGUGUGGGCUUUCUCUGACUACUCUCCACAUUGUCUCCUAACUCUUCCUGCUAAACUCUUGGGCUACAGAUGUACCCAAACUCCUAGUCUAUGGAUGCUGUCUAAAUGCUUGGCUGAAAUUGAAAAGCACAAAGGAGUUGAUGCCAUUAGAGCCCCCAUCUCUGUCACCGCCCAGUUCAAGGAACCAUUAUUGGUACCAGGAAAAGUGACCAUCAAAUUUUGUGAGAGUGUGGGAGUGCAGUCCAAAUGUGUUAGCUUCCAAAUGGAGCGAUACGAGAGGAAGAUACCUCACAUCACGGGACAAAUCUGCAGGACUACUGUAGAGGAUGUGAACUAA